GAGUUUGAUCGUGGCUCAGAUUGAACGCUGGCGGCAUGCCUUACACAUGCAAGUCGAACGGCAGCACGGGAGCUUGCUCCUGGUGGCGAGUGGCGAACGGGUGAGUAAUGCAUCGGAACGUAUCCUGGAGUGGGGGAUAACGUAGCGAAAGUUACGCUAAUACCGCAUAUUCUGUGAGCAGGAAAGCGGGGGACCUUCGGGCCUCGCGCUCUUGGAGCGGCCGAUGUCGGAUUAGCUAGUUGGUGAGGUAAAGGCUCACCAAGGCGACGAUCCGUAGCAGGUCUGAGAGGAUGAUCUGCCACACUGGAACUGAGACACGGUCCAGACUCCUACGGGAGGCAGCAGUGGGAAUUUUGGACAAUGGGGGCAACCCUGAUCCAGCCAUGCCGCGUGAGUGAAGAAGGUCUUCGGGUUGUAAAGCUCUUUCGCGAGGGAAGAAAUUGCACCGGACAAUACCUGGUGUAGAUGACGGUACCUUGAUAAGAAGCACCGGCUAACUACGUGCCAG
rnacentral:rRNA from 1 species